AACCGAAGUCCCUCUUUGCACAGUGCAUCGCCCCCUCGCCCGUGUCCGAAACUUCCCCGAACCCGAAUCGGACUAUCGUUACCAUUGGGUUCGGAUCAUCCCCAAACAUCUAUAAAACAUCACCGUUUUCUUUGUUGGACUCUCCUAGCUUAUUUUUCUUAACCGUCCGAUUUAAAUCGGAGGGACCAAAUAUCCCCUAACCUAAAUUCAUCUGCUAUAUAUAUUAGUCUAACCCUAGCCUUGUCCCAUCCAACCAUCAAAUCCUCCCCGCCGCCGCCAGCCCACCUGGUCUCCUCCUCGUCUUCCCCACCGAGCCAACCACCAUCCACCUCAGAUCCGCCCCCUCCAACCGUAGCCUCCGACCAACUCCCGUGAUUUCCGCGCCACCCAAAUCACCAGCAAGCCGCAGCCUCCUCCUUCCCGCGCCUGCAACCAGCUCCUUAUCCCAAGUGUCCCCGCUUUCCGGGCGCGUCCCGCACCAAGGAGAGGAGCUCCUCGAGCCCCUCGGCUCCAGCGCCUGGCCUCGACUACAGCCGCCCUGCCGGCGAGCUGCACCACAGAUGAGCCCCGCGCCGCCCCUUCCUUCCUUUCCUGCUUCUCUCUUCUCCCUCUCACAUCUCUCGCUCUCUGCAACAGGAACAUCAUGGAGCCCCGCAGCAGAUGCUCGCCGUUGCCGCUGCUCGCCCCGCGUCCCCGAGCACCUCGUCGCUGCUGCCCAAACAACCGCCGGCGACCAGCAGGAACCAUGGUGCGCGAAGGCCUCCGAGCUCGCCCACCUCCUGGUUCCGACGACCGCUGCUGCGUGGUCACCGGAGGACGGCGCCGCUGUCGCAUGGGAGCUACUAGGUCGCCCUGGCUCCUCCUUUUCUUUCCCGUUUCCUCUCCCUGUCUCUCCCCUCUGAAUUCGUUCUCUCUCUGUAUUUCUUCACAGGAGUCGAGUCGCCGUCGUCCUGUUCGACUCCCACCAUCAGGAACCGGCUCCCCUCGUCAGAUCCGGUGGAUCCUCGCCGCCGUCCGCCGCCUAUAGGCCCCAUCUCGCCGCACUCCCUCCGUUCCUUGCGCCCACGUCGCCGAAGUCCAUCGCGCCCAGCCGCUGGCGUUUGAACCUGCUGCUGUUUCUGUUCUUCAGAAACGAGCAGCAGCAGCUCGCUCGCCUCAUCCCUGCGUUGACCCGCGCGCUGCCUCGCUUGACCGGUCUCCCCUCCUCGCUGUUGACAGCAUCAAGGCCCAGCGCGCCUCAGCCGCAUGCAUCGACCGCGUGGACCAGGAGGCCUCGAUCGCCUCCAGCCAAACCGCACCAGGCCCAGAUCUGCCAGCUCUCUGAAGCCCAAUCUUCGGUUUCGUUCCGGAGUUGUGAGGAUUCGUUCGACUACGUCCGUUUGUCUUCUUCAUGGAUUCGAUCUUCUUCCUAGUGGGAUCUCAG